rnacentral:lncRNA from 1 species
UGAAAGUAGUGCAUUCUUUUAAUAAUUUGCGCAGGAAUUAGUUAAUACUUUAAUGGCAUUUUUCUGAAACAACAUAGAUUUCAUUACAUGACAACAGAAUUGUAAAGCAUUAAAAUAUCCAUUACAAGCCAACAAAAUAGUAGAGCAUUGCAAUAUUUAGUGCUAACAUUGUAUUGGAUUAUUUUUCAAUUAUCAUGCUGCACUAUAUUAACUUUUUUGUGAUUAAUUUAGGUUAUUUAUUUAAAAAAUAUUUACUAUAUGACAACUUAGAAAAGUAUUACAUCAUAAGUCUUAAAUUUAAAAUUUUUCUUAUUUUUAAUUUUUAGUAUAAAUGUAAAAAAUAUCAUAAUUCUUUUAAGCAUACGUUAAACUAAUAAAUUCUAUAAUUUUAGGCAGCAUAAAAUUUAUUUUUCCAACAUUUCUCAAAUGUGUACCCAGUGAAAUAAAGAUCCGAGUAAACAAUCUAAUCAAAUAGCCUCUAAAAAGUAUCACACUAUCACAACAUAAAUAAAUAGUUAAAAUAUACAAACUUAGUAUAUAAGUCAUCUUCGUAAUAAAGAUAUGGGUGGGGAUAUUUGAAUCCACUAAAUUUUUUUUUAUACUCAUUUUAAAAAAUAAAUCCAUCAUAAAAAAUAUAAAAUUUAAAAAUCUUAAAAUUACCGUCCACUAAUCACUUUCUCUUUCUAAUAUAUAAUUGUAUAUUCUCCCUGUAUUCUCAUAUUCAGCUUCACACUCCUACAAAAAACUUUUCAUUUCAUUUAUUACCCAUCUCACAUAGGGGUGGGUAUGGGUUGGUUAGAUCUAACUUGUGAAAACCAGUGUCAAUUCACUAUUGAUUGGGUCGAGAAAAAAUCAACCUAACCUAACUAAAUAAACAAGUUCAAUUCAAUCCAAUUCAAUCUUUAAAUUAUCGGAUUAAGUUGGGUUGAUUAAAAUUAGAAAUGUAAAAAGUUUAAAUAUAAAGGUAAAAAACACGAUUUGGUACUUAAAAUUACAUUCAAAUAGUAAGAAAACAUAUUAGUUCUCCAUCAUAACAUUAAAUAUAAUCUAUUGUACUCGGCAUCUAUCAAUAAAUAGCAUGAAAUUAUCUUUGAAUAUCUAUCUUACCUUUAGUGAAAAUUCAGAUUUAACUUUUAAAUUUGAAAUCUUGGGAAUUCAAUCAAUGUCAGGUUUAAUAGAGAGAAAUUGAAAACAAUCUCUUUUAUUAAAAAAAAAAGGUUUAAAAUUAGAUUUAGUCAUUUAGAGAUUAACAAUUGACAGUUGACAUUAAUUUUUCUAAGAAUUUUAUAAGGAAUAUUGUGAAUUUUACCUCUACUGAAAUCAAUAUGUGCCAUUUAUCUUAUAUUGUUUUCAUAAUAUUCAAAAACUCCUCUAGCCAAAAAAAAAUAAAAUUGGGUCAUUUGUUUUAUAAUUUAUCUUGUGAAUAUAAAUACAUAUGUAUUAUAAGAAAAUGUUUGAAAAAUAACAAAAUGUAGAAGAAAAAUAUUUUUUAUUGAUUUUUUUAUUAACACCGAAACAUAUUUUCUUACUUUUAAUUCUUAAAUUUUUUUAUUUUAAUUUUCAUUUAUAUGGUUUAUUUAAUUUAUAAUAAAUAUGUAUUUAAAAAUAAAGGUAAUAUUAUAAAAUUAUCUGCUAGGGGGUUNNNNNNNNNNNNNNNNNNNNNNNNNNNNNNNNNNNNNNNNNNNNNNNNNNNNNNNNNNNNNNNNNNNNNNNNNNNNNNNNNNNNNNNNNNNNNNNNNNNNUAGAGCAACGUGGUGACAUUAUUCUGCUAGGGGGUUAUUGAGUAUUUUGAAAACAAUAUAAGAUAAGUAGUGUAUAUUGAUUUCAAUAGAAAAAAGCUGGCAAUCUCCUAUUUUGUUAUUUGGGAUGGGUUGGGUAAUAUGAGUUCAUUAACAUGAACCGAACCUGACUUCAUCAUUAAUCAAAUUGAAAAAAAUUGACCCAACAACUUAUAUAAAUUUAAUUAGGUUUAAUUGAAUUAAAUUGGGUUCAUUGAAUUAAACUGGGUGUAAUAUUGUAAAAUCAUUCUGCUAGGGGGUUAUUGACUAUUUUGAAAACAGAAUAGGAUAAGUCGCUUAUAUUAAUUUCAAUAGAAAAAAAUUGACAAUAUCCUAUUUUAUUAUUUGGGAUGGUUUGGGUAAUAUGAGUUUAACAUGAACCUACCCCAGCUUAAUCAUUAAUCAGAUUGAAAAAAAUUGACCCAACAACCUAUAUAAAUUUAAUUAGGUUUAAUUGAAUUAAAUUGGGUUCAUUGAGUUAAACUGGGUGUAUGCACCCCUAGUCUCUUGUUCAUCAAACAACAAUCGUUGUCCAAGCAUUGAUGGCAAAAUAAGUCAACAUAAAUUUAGAGAUUAUAAUUUUCUAUUUGUAAAGGAUAAUGGCACUAACUUUUAUGACAGUAGCUUUUUGCACUUGGGCGUGGGUUCUAUUAUAAUUUUUUUUUAUACUUUAUUUAAUCCUUGGUGAAAAACUAUUUCUUAUAUGACGUUUUAAUAUAAAAAUAAGAGAAAAUGAUACUUAUACCUCCAAAUUUGGAUGAAUAGUCAUAAAAGCUCUAAAUUUUCAAUAAGAGACACUAAAAUCUCAUUUUCACCAUAAUAUUCAUUGACUAAAAAUCCAAAACAAUUUGACCUCAAAAUUUUAUAAUAAAUAGAAAUAUGGCAUUAAAAUAAAAUGUAAUAAUAUCUAAAUUUUAGAAUAAUUUUAAUAUUUAAAAAGUAUUAUUAUGUUUUACAAUCUAUUAGAUGUAUUUUAUUAUGUG